UAUCGUGCACUAAGGGUGUACGGUGGAUGCCUUGCUAAACACAAACGAUGAAGGACGCCGUAGCGGGCGAUAAUCACGGGGAGGUCGCAAACAACCUUCGAUCCGUGAGNNNNNNNNNNGGGGAAACCCACGUCAACGCGAGUUGGCGUAUCCUGCAGUGAAUACAUAGCUGCUGGAGGAAGACCUGGGGAAGUGAAACAUCUCAGUACCCAGAGGAAAAGAAAUCAAUAGAGAUUCCCAAAGUAGUGGCGAGCGAAAUGGGAGAAGCCUAAACGCACAUUCCGUGAACGGAGGUAAGGGUCGUCUUCGGACGUAUCAUGACUCUCGGGAAAGGGAUAGGCCGAUGCGAUGUGCGAGUUGUGGGGCACUACAAGACAGCGCCUAUUUGCUGUCCGUAGAAGCUGCAGUAUAGAAGAACAGGCUGGAAUGCCUGGCCAGAGCGGGUGAAAGCCCCGUAUUCGAAAUACUUCAGUCUAUGCGCGUAGUGUUCCCGAGUAGGGCGGGACACGUGAAAUCCCGUCUGAACCCGGAACGACUAUGUUCCAAGGCUAAAUAUUGUGUUUGAGCGAUAGUGAACAAGUACCGCGAGGGAAAGGUGAAAAGCAGCCCGAGAGGGCGAUGAAAUAGUUUCUGAAACCGUACACUUACAAAGAAUCAGAGCUCAAGCGCGCGCAAGCGAGUGCUGGGUGAUGGUGUGCCUAUUGAAGAAUGAGCCAACGAGUUUAUCGACUGUUGCAGGUUAAGCCCCUCUGGGGUGGAGCCACAGUGAAAGCGAGGAUUAAUAGUCCGUUUGUAGCAGCGAUAAGACCCGAAACGGUGUGAGCGACCCAUGGCCAGGCUGAAUGUUUUAGAAAUAAAACAGAAGGGCCGAACCAACCAGCUGUGCAAAACUGGUGGAUGAGCUGUGGGUAGGGGAGAAAUUCCAAUCGAACACCGUGAUAGCUGGUUCUCCUCGAAACAUCUUUAGGGAUGGCCUCGAGUAUUCCCGCCGGAGGUAGAGCUACUGAAUGAAAACAGGGGCGCAAGCCUACUUUUUUCAACCAAACUCCGAAUGCCGGCGAUUAACAACUCGGGAGUCAGACGGUGGGGGCUAAGCUCCAUCGUCUAAAGGGAAACAGCCCAGACCAUCAACUAAGGUCCCCAAAUCAAUGCUAAGUGUAAAAAGUGGUUUUGUAGCUUUGACAACCAGGAUGUUGGCUUAGAAGCAGCCACCAUUCAAAGAAAGCGUAACAGCUCACUGGUCGAGCCGCAGAGCGCUGAAAAUAUACCGGGGCUAAGCAUUGUACCGAAGUUAUGGAUGCAUGAAGGAUUCGUCCGACAUGCGUGGUAGAGGAGCGUUCCAUUCAGCAGUGAAGUUGGACCCGCGAGGGCCGAUGGAGCGAAUGGAAGUGAGAAUGUUGGCAUAAGUAGCAGAAACGGGUGUGAGAAUCACCCGCACCGUAAAUCCAAGGUUUCCUGGGCAACGCGAAUCGUCCCAGGGUUAGUCGAUCCUAAGCUCAGGCCGAAAGGCGUAGGCGAUGGAAGAGCAGGUUAAUAUUCCUGCACUAUGAUAGUGGAGUUUUGUUCGUGCGCAUCUUCAAGAUGAGAGCGGAAUUUGGUUAUGACCGUAUCGCAAGAUCGAGGUGAAGUCUUCGGAUGGAUCCAAGUUUGGUCAAGAAGGUGCCUAGAAAAGCGCGCAAAACGUUGAAAUUAUUAUAACCGUACCGGAAACCGACACAGGUGGAUGGGCAUGAAUAUGCCAAGGUGUACGAGAGAACCCUCGUUAAGGAACUAGGCAAAAAAGUAGGCGUAACUUCGGGAUAAGCCUUACCUCUCGCAAGAGAGGUCGCAGCGAAAGAUAUCAGGCGACUGUUUACCUAAAACACAGCUCCAUGCGAAACCGUAAGGUGAUGUAUAUGGGGCGAUGCCUGGCCAGUGUCCGAAUGUUAAGGUGAGGGGUUAGCCGCAAGGCGAAGCCUUAAGCUGAAGCACGGAUGAACGCCGGCCGUAACUAUAAACUUGACCGUUGUAGUUAUCAGGAUGGUAAAACGUCAAAAGCAAUUCGUGUUAAAUCUGGCUAUAUGCUGGAAACCCUGCGCAUAUCAUCGUACCGUAAGGUAACAAUCGGUGAUCGAUGCAGACAAUCAGCAGGAAAGAUCGGAAGUAAUUCCGAAAUCCUCAGAGACUAUACGCCAGAGCUCGUCCGUGAAAGCGGGGUGCGAGUAUGAUAUAGUCCGAUCUGCAUAGCGAUAUGCAGAGUGGGUGCAAGUAAUCCCACCAAUCAUGAAAAUGAUUCGUAACAGACCUUGAACGGUCCUAAGGUGAAUAAAAGCUGCCUUAGUAAAAUUCGACUAAAUGCUGGAACAACUGGAGUAUCUUGUGCUCCUAAGGUAUAAUCCCACCAUAGAUUAUGCCAAGGAAUAAUGCACAAGCGUUUCCGAGUAAGGAUCGGAAGCCAGUCAAUCAGCAGGAAAGACUAGAAAUGAGUGGUUGGAUAGUUGGAUUCACUGAUGGUGAAGGCUGCUUUUCGGUGAGCCUCAUUCGAAAUGCCACAACCAAAAUUGGUUGGCAGGUAUUUCCUGAGUUUGUAAUAACGCAAGGUGCGAAGAGUCGUACAGCACUCGAAGAAAUUCAAACUUUUUUCGAAUGUGGAAGGAUCUAUGAAAACCGGCGAUAUGACAAUCAUCGAGAGCAUCUAUUGCGAUAUUGUGUGAGAUCACUUCGUGAGCUUCGAGAACGGAUAAUCCCUUUCUUUCAGCGUUAUGAAUUGAAAACACAUAAAAAAAAUGACUUCAAAAAGUUUUGUGAAAUAAUUUCUCUUAUCGAGAAUGGACAUCACUCUACUCACGAAGGAGUAACAAAAAUCGCGUAUCACAUAUCAGAAAUGAAUCGAAAAUCUAAACCAAAGUUUCUAGAAUCCUCAGAGACUACACGUCGAACUCUGGAAACAGAGAUGAUAUAGUCCGACCUGUAUGGCGACAUACAGAAAGUGAUAGAAAUAUCACUUCGUCCAAAUAAUGGAUAGUAACAUAUUGAGCGAAAUUCCUUGUCAGGUGAGUUCUGACCCGCACGAAUGGCAUAACGAUCUGAUAACUGUCUCAACGAGGGACUCGGCGAAAUUGCAAGAGGGGUGAAGAUGCCCUUUACCCGUGGUUAGACGAAAAGACCCCAUGAAGCUUUACUAUAACUUGUCAUUGGAUAUACGUUUCGUAUGUUCAGCGUAGGCGGGAGCCCCUUAAAAGGCGCCAAUGAGACACCGCUCUUACGUUGUGUGUAUUCUCAUCCCCGACCGUGAAUCCGGUUGGAGAGACAGUGACUGGCGGGUAGUUUGCCUGGGGCGGGAGCCUCCUAAACAGUAACGGAGGCGUUCACAAAGGUCAGCUUAGCGCGGAUGGAAAUCGCGCUGGACGUGUAUACGCACAAGCUGGCUUUACUGCAAGACCUACAAGUCGCGCAGUUGCGAAAGCAGGAGUAAGUGAUCCGACGAUCCAAUAUAGGAUGGUCGAAGCUCAACGGAUAAAAGCUACUCUGGGGAUAACAGGCUGAUCGGGUCCAAGAGUCCACAUCGACGACCCGGUUUGGCACCUUAACACAUUGGGGUUCUCACACAGCGAUGUGUGAACCUGGUUUUUUCGUCAAAACUAAUAGAAGUUAGAUAGAGAGUAAAAAUAAAUCGGCUUAUAACGGAGAACCCGAAGUGUCAUGCAAAUGAUAACCGGCAACCCCGUGGGAAGUCCGCUGCUUCAAACACAGCGUGACCCCGUAACGACUGACCCGAAAGGGAAGAUGUGUGCGCAUGAAAGAUGCGCAUGCAUAACACGCCGACACUUGCUACAAGUCAAAACUGAAUGCUAUGCGGUUCAACACCAGUUCGGUGUCAAUUCCGCUGCCAGCACAGAGCAAGUUGAAGAUAUAGUCUACCCCACAUGAAAGUGUGGAACAUGUACGAUGUCGGCUCAUCGCAUCCUGGGGCUGGAGAAGGUCCCAAGGGUUUGGCUGUUCGCCAAUUAAAGCGGUACGCGAGCUGGGUUCAGAACGUCGUGAGACAGUUCGGUCUCCUAUCUACCACGGGCGUUGAAGAUUGAGAGGGCUGGUCUUUAGUACGAGAGGACCGAGAUCAACGAAGCUCUAGUGUACCGGUUGUUCCACCAGGGGCAGAUGCCGGGUAGCUACCUUCGGCACGGAUAAACGCUGAAAGCAUCUAAGCGUGAAGCCGUCCUCAAGAUUAAUCUUCGUUAUCAGCUCCCUGGGAGACUACCAGGUUGAUAGGCAGGAAGUGUACGCACAGCAAUGUGUUUAGCUGACCUGUACUAAUAGAGCGAGCACGACCUU
rfam:Candidatus Magasanikbacteria bacterium RIFCSPHIGHO2_01_FTLL_50_8 rifcsphigho2_01_scaffold_78229, whole genome shotgun sequence.